GUUAUCUACAACAAGAUAUGUUAUUCAUUCCGAUUAACAUGUCGGGCUACCAUUGGUAUCUAGCAGUUGCCAACGCCAAAAAACGAGAGAUCCAAGUAUUGGACUCACUUGGUGAGAAUGUCAAACGCAAUGACCUUGCUACUACGUUAUUAGGGCUCGAGAAAUGGCUGAAACUUGCAGAGCAUAGUCCGGAGUUUAUCAAAGGUCAUAAGUGGCCUGAUCUCAAUGUUACAAAAUGGACGGUUGUAGAGCAAAUUCAGGAGGCAAUACAAACCGAUGGGAGGAUAUGAAACAUUUUCGACAAAAAUUAGCAAUUAUUUUGCUCGAUUCAGAGCUUAAUAAGUUAAAAGGAUGUCCCAUGUACCAUCAACCUCUUAACGAAGAAACUUUAGCUAAUUCUGAUCUUGAGAUCCUGGAUAUUCCAUCUGACGUGGUCGAAGAGAAACGUCCCGCCCCAAUCACUAUCAUUCCCACGGACCAACGUGAAAUACUUGCCGGCCUCUGCAACUACAUCAUGUCGAUCAAUGAUGCUGGAUGUUUGAAGGAAGUAUCAUGUAUCAAUAUUUAAUGUGCGGAUGUAUAUUAUUGUUCUUCUUACCAUCCAAAUUACAGGAAGGUGUGGGUCCGGAGCUCCACACCCGAUCCAAUGAGCUUAAGUCUUAAGAAACUUCAGUGCAUACUUAACAUGGAGCAGCCCAUGGACAAUAAUUGCUUCAACACCGCCGUGCUUAUGCUGGCAUGUGACGAGGGAGUAUUGUUCAUAGACCCUCCUAUACACUACAUGGAUCUACGAUUUUGUGUAAGUUACCGUAACUCUUCAUUCUAGGUGCCAUUAGUAUCAACAUGUUGAAACAAUAUUUUUUUUCUUCUACUUAGUCCAUGCUGCUAGAGUCAACACGAGGUCAGAAGUUUUGUGAGAAGGAAACUAUCCAGACGUUGGCAACAUUAUUUGAUAGCUGGCCUGGGAUGGAGACCAACAUCUCAUCUUGCAAUAAGAUUUAUCUUCCCUAUGCAUCCAUCGGCCGAUACAUCCUGUACAUCAUCGACAAAGAGGCACGUCGUCUACAUAUUAUGGAUCCUAUUCAAUCAUCACAAUCGUCAGAGGAUAAAAACUUGAGGCAUUCACUGAAAUUAAAAAGUUUUUCAAGGGAUUUCAAAGAAGCACUCGAAAUAAAGCUGCCUGGGUGGAAUUCUGAUAUAUCUAAAUGACAUCGUUUAUUUCCGGCCGGUGUUCCAACGAGUAUAGACGGGUAAUGAAUUCAUAAUAAGAAUAUUUACUUUUGUUAUCAUUAUAUUAUUUAUAAUAUUA